CUUGAUCGAGCCCAGGAGCAGCGGCCGAUCCGCCGGGCGCCCCGCACCGUAGGUCGCGAGCAGCGCCUGCGCCUC
rnacentral:antisense_RNA from 1 species